CUAUGUGCCGCGAGCCGACUUUUGCAAGGAUAUGGCAGGUAACCUCAUCACGAACGACAGCGAGGUGGUCGACAGGUGGAAGCAGCACUUCGAUGAACAUCUGAAUGGCGAUGCAACAAACGGAAGCGGAACUGGAACGGACCUGGGAGUGCCAGCAGUAGAUGACCGGGUAUUAGCCCCCGAUCUCCACGAAAUUCAGUGGGAGAUUGGAAGGUUGAAGAACAACAAAGCCACCGGCAAAGACGGCCUGCCGGGUGAGCUCUACAAACAUGGUAAAGAAACGCUUGCUAGAGCACUACACUGGAUCAUUUCCAAGAUCUGGGAAGAGGAAAAACUGCCGGAAGAGUGGAUGGAGGGAGUCGUCUGCCCCAUCUAUAAGAAAGGCGACAUGCUGGAGUGCUGCAAUUAUCGUGGCAUUACGCUUGUCAACGCUGCAUAUAAAAUACUCUCCCAAGUUCUAUUCCAACGUCUAACACCUUUAACAAGGAGAUUCGUGGGGCAGUACCAGGAAGGUUUCAUGGGAGCCCGCGCAACCCCGGACCAAAUUUUUUCAAUCCGACAGAUUUUACAAAAAUGUCGUGAGUACAACGUGUCCACGCAUCACAUUUUUAUCGACUUCAAGGCAGCCUAUGAUACAGUUGAUCGAGAACAGCUAUGGCAGAUCAUGCACGAGAACGAUAUCUUCCCGGAUAAACUGACGCGGCUGAUCAAGGCUACCAUGAACCGUGUGAUGUGUUACGUGCGUGUCUCGGGGAUGCUCUCGAGUCACUUCGAGUCAUGCCGAGGAUUGAGACAAGGUGAUGGACUCUCUUGUUUGCUUUUGAACAUCGCCCUCGAAGGUGUUAUACAAAGAGCGGGCAUCGACACGAGUGGUACGAUUUUUACGAAACGGGUUCAGCUUAACGGCUUCGCUGAUGACUUCGACAUAAUAGCACGAAACUUUGCGACGGUGGAGGAAACCUACACCAGACUGAAAGCGGAAGGUAAGCGCAUUGGACUGCUGAUCGAUGCGUCGAAAACUAAGUAUCUGAAGGGAAGAGGCUCCAAGGAGAACAAUGUCAGCCUCCCACCCCGGAUCACCGUGGACGGCGAUGAGCUUGAGGUGGUAGACGAGUUCGUGUACUUAGGAUCGCUGGUGACCGCUGACAACAACACCAGCAAGGAGAUCCGGAGACGCAUUCAAGCGGGAAAUCGUGCCUACUUUGCACUUCGUGAGACAAUGAGAUCCAAUCGAGUGCGCCGCCGUACAAAGUUGAAACUGUACAAAACACUAGUUAGACCGGUAGUCCUCUAUGGGCUAGAGACGACAACACUGCUCUCAGAGGACCUCAACGCCCUUGGAGUUUUCGAACGGAAGGUGCUGCGAACCAUCUACGGUGGAGUACAUACUGAAGACGGAGAAUGGCGUAGAAGCAUGAACCAUGAGCUGCACGCGCUGCUAGGAGAGAUCCCCAUUGCACAUCUGAUCAAAGUUAACAGAUUGCGAUGGGCCGGCGCGUCGUUAAAACGACCCUUUUCAGUAACCCCUCCGGCACCAGAAACAGAGGAGCACAGCGUACACGAUGGCUUGAUCAGAUUGAAAGUGACCUACGAGUGAUAAGACGCCUGGGAGCAUGGCGCCAUACAGCCCAGAACCGAGUUGAAUGGAGACGACUUCUUGAUACAGCACGAGCCACCCUGGCUCCAGCCUGCUAGGUAAGCAAACUUAACCAAACAAUUACGACCAUAUGGAUCGAAAGACAACAUAGUGUCUUCAUUUACAUAUUCACCAGAUCAACUUUACAGUACACCAGAUGGCUACACAAGCUCUCCUGAGAAAAGUUGCAAGAACAGAAGGUAUGAAGAGCCAUUUUGUAGUCGAUACAGUGGACGAGAAAAUACUGCUACGUCAAUUAUCGAUGAAGAACACAGAGAUGCGACGCUUGUGGAUGGUCAGUACAAUAUAUAUGUUGGCGUUAAAGAUGUCGGAAGAACGCAGCAAUCUAGUAGCCAGGUUUUCGACCCGACGAGGCCUGAGGAUUUACACCGUAUCCGCGUGGAAUUGAUGGAAAGACAAUUAGCCAAUCUAACAGGUUUGGUGCAAAAAGCUUUAACGCAUAAACCAGAACAGUAUACGGUUGGGAGUGAUUCAAGAGGUAUUGGCUUGCCAUCUCAGCACCGAUCAGGACUUCCACCGUCACCAUCAGUUAUACGAGCCGAAUAAAAGAGCUAGUGAACAUUGCGCGGUGAGAAGAGAUCCGGCACCUCUGAUAUGUGAAACCUAGUUCCAAAUCAGCGGUUUUUUUCAUCGCUUAUCUCUCCCUCUGAGGAUCUCUACGAGAAAGGCUGAUCGACUAAACAAAGGGAAAUUGUGAGUAAACACGUGUUGUAGAGACGCUAUAACGAUCGAAACUUGAUGCAGCGACCUCUUCACUUUAAAUUUGUAACACGAUAACGAUCAUAGGUAACUUCUGCUAGUUAACAAAACCUC